GAUGAACGCUGGCGGCGUGCCUAAUACAUGCAAGUCGAGCGAACAGACGAGGAGCUUGCUCCUCUGACGUUAUCGGCGGACGGGUGAGUAACACGUGGAUAACCUACCUAUCAGACUGGGAUAACUUCGGGAAACCGGAGCUAAUACCGGAUAAUAUAUUGAACCGCAUGGUUCAAUAGUGAAAGACGGUUUUGCUGUCACUUAUAGAUUGAUCCGCGCCGCAUUAGCUAGUUGGUAAGGUAACUGCUUACCAAGGCAACGAUGCGUAGCCGACCUGAGAGGGAGAUCGGAUACCCGGGAACUGAGACAGGGCACAGACUCCUACGGGAGGAAGCAGUAGGGAAUCUUCCGCAAUGGGCGAAAGCCUGACGGAGCAACGCGGCGUGAGUGAUGAAGGUCUUCGGAUCGUAAAACUCUGUUAUUAGGGAAGAAGAAAUGUGUAAGUAACUAUGCACGUCUUGACGGUACCUAAUCAGAAAGCCACGGCUAACUACGUG
rnacentral:rRNA from 1 species